GGACCUUCUAUUGUAAUGGAUACAACUGAUGAACAAUGUAAUCAAUCAGUACUUAAAACCAAUGGGUUGCUCUCCCUGUAGCUGGGAAAUAUAUUCCCUCAAGAUUUCCCAACUGAUAUAUUGCUGCAAGUAGGUGAAUCAAGUUUCCCUCUUCACAAGAGUACCUUGAAAUGACUGAUGAGUAUUGUGUUGCUAGCCGGACGUAUGCCUUCCUCACUCACGUAGCCUUAUCUAGUCUUUUAGGAGCUAUAACUGUUUUGAACUCAUGUGAAGAUCUUCUUCCUAUUGCCGACGAGCUCAAUAUCAUGCACCAAUGUGUUGAAGCUAUUAGUG